UACAGAGGGUGCGAGCGUUAAUCGGAAUUACUGGGCGUACAGCGCGCGUAGGCGGCUUUGCAAGUCGGGUGUGAAAUCCCCAGGCUUAACCUGGGAACUGCAUUCGAGACUGCAUUGCUAGAGUAUGGGAGAGGGAAGUGGAAUUUCCGGUGUAGCGGUGAAAUGCGUAGAUAUCGGAAGGAACAUCAGUGGCGAAAGCGACUUCCUGGACCAAUACUGACGCUCAUGUGCGAAAGCGUGGGGAGCAAACAGG
rnacentral:rRNA from 1 species